CCAAAUACAGAAGCUCCACACUUCCUGAACACAUCCAAAUGUUGAUUUGCACUCGAAAUUGGUUGCACGGCUUUACUGAAUAUAUAAAUGAUGAUGAUGAAAGUAAUAUUGUGGACGACUGCAACACUGCGGCGACAAUGACUCAACAUGGAUGAAUGCAACGCUAGGGGCGACUGCAACACUGCGGCGAUAAUGACUCAAAGAAUUUUAUUUUAUAUCUACUAGUAUACUUUUUUCCUACUAUGUGACUGUGUUCUUAUGUGUAAAUCUCCCGCUUAUAUUUGGACGAGUGUAUGAGGAUUUUGAUAAUUUGAUGUGUUAGAUGAAAAAAAACUUAAGUGAGUUCUAGGAAUUUUUUUCCGAAAAUUCUCGUUUCCGAGAAUUCUUAAAAUUUUCGUUUCCGAUGCUUCGACUCAUCUGAUGGGGUAAUCCAGCAGAAACUAAAGUGAUCAUUUUGUUUUAACAAAAUGUAAUUAUUUGAUUGAGCAAAGUUUAUAACACCAGAUAUUGGUACACAAAUCUUAA